rnacentral:lncRNA from 1 species
AAACCCCAGCCUUGGCCAAAAUAGCCUGAGACUAAGGAAUGGGCACAUGACGCAAGCUGAACCAAACAGGGACAGCCCAAGACUUAGUGGAGCUCUGCAGAAGAGGCUCCAUUCUGGACUCCAACUUUCCCCACAAGCACAGCUGAGGGAGGAGAGAGAGCAUUGCUCCGAUGGCACUGUUUGAGCCCCUGGAUUCAGCCUUGCCUGAAGUUCCCUGGACUUUCCUGAAGACCCAGGUCUUCCCAGCCACCUGGAAGGCAGAUGUGAGGUGUGGAGCUUCAGUAACCUUGCUGGACCAUGAGAUGGCCUUGGGAUGGAAGCCACACACCUUGUGUGGCAGAGCAGAAAGAAAGAAGGAGCCUAGGCUGCUGAGGACUCUCUGAACUGUCUGUCUCUGGACUUGUUUUACAAAACUUUCAGAGCAGCCAGAAAAUGGAGAGCUGGAUCCACACUCAGGCGUUCUGGCCCCAUAUUGGGGGGCUCUUUUGUGCUCUGCCAUGGUGGGUAGAAAGAGCAGCAAAAGUCAUUGGUGACACCUUCCAGAAAUGGGAUGUUUGAAAAAAAAUCUUCAUAAGACUGAGAAAUUUUGUCUUUCAUAGUACACAGAUUGAGUGGAGUCUACAGAGACUUGGAAAAUGUUGUCAAAAAUGCUGGGUCAGAAUGCAAAUUAUGUGAUCAGACCAAGCAAGCAGAGGGAGAUGCAGCAUCACCAGCUUUUCUCACCAUUUCUGAAAAAUGAGAACUGUGUGAAGACAAGUAGCUCACGUCAGAAACUGACAAUGGCCAAUUCUUUUUCUUACUGGGAGAGAAUACUCUGGAACUCUUCCUACAGGAAAGGCCAUUAGGUAUAGACCUAGUUCCAAACAAACGUUAGUAAGGUGGAGUGGUGUAGUUUGGAAAUGUGAAGAAAAAAGAGAUAAGAGUCAAUCCUGGCCACAGGAAAAGCUUGGGUGAUGGUCCAUAUUCAUCUCUGUUCUCAAAAACUGACUGAGAAGUAAUUGGUGGAGAAGGCGCCAACCACAGUCCCUGUCAGAGUUAGAUUGCCACCCUGAAGCAUGCUGGGAAAUUUUCACAGG